UUUUAGUGACUGAGUGGCGGACGGGUGAGUAACGCGUGGGUAACCUGCCUCAUACAGGGGGAUAACAGUUAGAAAUGACUGCUAAUACCGCAUAAGACCACAGCACCGCAUGGUGCAGGGGUAAAAACUCCGGUGGUAUGAGAUGGACCCGCGUCUGAUUAGGUAGUUGGUGGGGUAACGGCCUACCAAGCCAACGAUCAGUAGCCGACCUGAGAGGGUGACCGGCCACAUUGGGACUGAGACACGGCCCAAACUCCUACGGGAGGCAGCAGUGGGGAAUAUUGCACAAUGGGGGAAACCCUGAUGCAGCGACGCCGCGUGAGCGAUGAAGUAUUUCGGUAUGUAAAGCUCUAUCAGCAGGGAAGAAAAUGACGGUACCUGACUAAGAAGCACCGGCUAAAUACGUGCCAGCAGCCGCGGUAAUACGUAUGGUGCAAGCGUUAUCCGGAUUUACUGGGUGUAAAGGGAGCGUAGACGGAGUGGCAAGUCUGAUGUGAAAACCCGGGGCUCAACCCCGGGACUGCAUUGGAAACUGUCAAUCUAGAGUACCGGAGAGGUAAGCGGAAUUCCUAGUGUAGCGGUGAAAUGCGUAGAUAUUAGGAGGAACACCAGUGGCGAAGGCGGCUUACUGGACGGUAACUGACGUUGAGGCUCGAAAGCGUGGGGAGUAAACAGGAUUAGAUACCCUGGUAGUCCACGCCGUAAACGAUGACUACUAGGUGUCG
rnacentral:rRNA from 1 species